rnacentral:rRNA from 1 species
CAAUAGCGUAUAUUAAAGUUGUUGCAGUUAAAAAGCUCGUAGUUGGAUUUCUGGUAGGAGUGACCGUGCCAGACUUGAUUGUCUGUGUAUUGUGUUGUCUCCAGCCAUCCUUGUGGAGAACUUUUCUUGCAUUAAUUUGUAGGGAUUGGGACCCGCAUCGUUUACUGUGAAAAAAUUAGAGUGUUUAAAGCAGGCAAUCGCUUGAAUACAUUAGCAUGGAAUAAUAAGAUAGGACUUUGGUACUAUUUUGUUGGUUUGCAUACCAAAUUAAUGAUCAACAGGAACAGUUUGAGGAUAUUCGUAUGAACAUGUCAGAGGUGAAAUUCUUGGAUCUUGAUCAGACGAACUACUGCGAAAGCAUUUAGCAAGGAUGUUUUCAUUAA